AUUAGUGGCGAACGGGUGAGUAACACGUGAGUAACCUGCCCUUGACUCUGGGAUAAGCCUGGGAAACUGGGUCUAAUACCGGAUAUGACCGUUCCGCGCAUGUGGUGGUGGUGGAAAGCUUUUGUGGUUUUGGAUGGACUCGCGGCCUAUCAGCUUGUUGGUGGGGUAAUGGCCUACCAAGGCGACGACGGGUAGCCGGCCUGAGAGGGUGACCGGCCACACUGGGACUGAGACACGGCCCAGACUCCUACGGGAGGCAGCAGUGGGGAAUAUUGCACAAUGGGCGCAAGCCUGAUGCAGCGACGCCGCGUGAGGGAUGACGGCCUUCGGGUUGUAAACCUCUUUCAGUAGGGAAGAAGCCGCAAGGUGACGGUACCUGCAGAAGAAGCGCCGGCUAACUACGUGCCAGCAG
rnacentral:rRNA from 1 species